UGUGUGCUCUGUGGAUUCGGGUGGCAGUGAAGAAGUCAUCGUCAAGAUUGCAAGAUUUUUGUGGAUUGUCAUCGCUACAAAAGAUAUUCAAAAACAGAGCAAGAAGAGAAGCCCUGCAACCAAGGUUCUUCUACUUGGGCUAGAUUGCAGAAGAUGAGCUGAAAAUUAAUCGUUUUUGUAUUUACAUAGUUAUUUCAUUAAAAUAUAUUUCGCAAUGAGUGUA
rnacentral:lncRNA from 1 species